rnacentral:rRNA from 1 species
AUUGAACGCUGGCGGCAGGCUUAACACAUGCAAGUCGAACGGUAACAGGGAGAAACUUGUUUCUCUGCUGACGAGUGGCGGACGGGUGAGUAAUGCUUGGGAAUCUGCUUUAUGGAGGGGGAUAACCACUGGAAACGGUGGCUAAUACCGCGUAAUAUCUUCGGAUUAAAGUGUGGGACCGUAAGGCCACAUGCCAUAGAGUGAGCCCAAGUGGGAUUAGGUAGUUGGUGGGGUAAAGGCCUACCAAGCCGUCGAUCUCUAGCUGGUCUGAGAGGAUGACCAGCCACACUGGGACUGAGACACGGCCCAGACUCCUACGGGAGGCAGCAGUGGGGAAUAUUGCACAAUGGGCGCAAGCCUGAUGCAGCCAUGCCGCGUGAAUGAAGAAGGCCUUCGGGUUGUAAAGUUCUUUCGGUGGUGAGGAAGGUUGUAAUGUUAAUAGCAUUAUAAUUUGACGUUAGCCACAGAAGAAGCACCGGCUAACUCCGUGCCAGCAGCCGCGGUAAUACGGAGGGUGCGAGCGUUAAUCGGAAUAACUGGGCGUAAAGGGCACGCAGGCGGAUACUUAAGUGAGGUGUGAAAGCCCUGGGCUUAACCUAGGAAUUGCAUUUCAUACUGGGUAUCUAGAGUAUUUUAGGGAGGGGUAGAAUUCCACGUGUAGCGGUGAAAUGCGUAGAGAUGUGGAGGAAUACCGAAGGCGAAGGCAGCCCCUUGGGGGAAUACUGACGCUCAUGUGCGAAAGCGUGGGGAGCAAACAGG